rnacentral:misc_RNA from 1 species
GCUAAUUCAGGAGAAGUAAUAAUAAUCCCAAUUUUUUUACCAAGCCAGAGUCUACAUAUGGGGCCAUACGUUUGGGAAAGAGAUGCAAAAUAGGUAUGAAGUUGAGGUUCAAGAGAAUGAAGAUUACCUAUCAAGGGCAAAGCUUUAGGGCCUGGUGGCAACCCCUUGUUUGACUUUCUGAUGAAAAACCAUAGUAAAGCUAAAACACCAAGAAAACAGGAUAAAAACACACCCUUUUGCUCAACAGUGAGUUCUUGAAGGGGCCAUGGAAAAAAAU